GAUGAACGCUGGCGGCGUGCUUAACACAUGCAAGUCGAACGAAGCACUUUAUUUGAUUUCCUUCGGGACUGAUUAUUUUGUGACUGAGUGGCGGACGGGUGAGUAACGCGUGGGUAACCUGCCUUGUACAGGGGGAUAACAGUUGGAAACGGCUGCUAAUACCGCAUAAGCGCACAGCAUCGCAUGAUGCAGUGUGAAAAACUCCGGUGGUAUAAGAUGGACCCGCGUUGGAUUAGCUAGUUGGUGAGGUAACGGCCCACCAAGGCGACGAUCCAUAGCCGAGCAGAGAGGGUGGCCGGACACAUUGAGACUGGGACACGGCCCAAACUCCUACGGGAGGCAGCAGUGGGGAAUAUUGCACAAUGGGCGAAAGCCUGAUGCAGCGACGCCGCGUGAGCGAAGAAGUAUUUCGGUAUGUAAAGCUCUAUCAGCAGGGAAGAUAAUGACGGUACCUAACUAAGAAGCACCGGCUAAAUACGUG
rnacentral:rRNA from 1 species